rnacentral:lncRNA from 1 species
CUAUUAAGACUGGUUUAUUUGAUUAUGUGUGGGUUCAGUUUUAUAAUAAUCCUCAGUGCCAAUAUUCAAGUGGAAACACUAACAAUCUUGUUGAUGCUUGGAAUCAAUGGACUUCAAGUCAAGCUAAACAAGUGUUUUUAGGUGUACCUGCUAAUGAUGCUGCCGCUCCAAGUGGUGGUUUUAUUCCUUCUGAUGUUUUGAUUUCUCAAGUUCUUCCUGCUAUUAAGGGUUCUGCUAAAUAUGGUGGUGUUAUGAUUUGGGAUAGAUUCAAUGAUGGACAAAGUGGAUACAGUAAUACUAUUAAGGGCAUUAAUCAUGGACAGAGUGGGUCCUGCAAAGUUAAUGGUUUGGUCAUCAAUAUUUAUUUUGAGGGUCGUCUUCAACACUCUAUAAGCCCCGUGUAGGGCCCACCUUAGUGACUGUUGAAUCGCGACAAAUGUUUAAGGAAUGUUACUCUUCUCACUUUACAUAACUCAACUGUAGUUAACUAUGUUUUGAUUUCUACCUAAGAUAUUUUUUAGAGCGGUUUAAUCAUCUUUAAAUCAAUUUAACCAAUCUUACAAGUGUUCAACGACACUUUACUGUUGUUGCAAAACUGAACGGGAACCUACAACUUUGUAAUCACAAUUAUGUUUUUGGUUUCUAGUGGGUCCCAUGUUCCUAUCCAUUCCCAUGGCGUUUAUUUGUGGGAAACGUUGACCAUUCCUAGUGCCUCUUAAAAAGAGCAUGCCUCUCAACAACUUGAAAGUUUCUAUGAAUUUGUUGCUAUUCUAAUCACAAUAAUGGUUUUUGGUAACUUUGUAAAUGUUAAUGGACGAUCCGGCGUUAGAUAAUUGAUUGAUUCAUUGCCACUAACGUGAAUGGCAUGGCAUGGCAAGCUCACUUGUUUAUGGCGUCGACGAAGAUUUGUUCUGUCCUUUGCAACAAUUCAAUGGCUGAUCACACGGUGGCAAACUAUGAUGACCCCAAUAAAGCACAUAUGCACGAAUAAAUAGUACAUAUACUCGCUCUCCGUUCCUUUUUAAGCGUCACUUUUGCAGAAAAUCUUUGUUCCUAUUUAACUUUCAUUUUCAAAGUUCAAUGCAACAUUAAAUAUUGUUUUACCAAUAUUAUCCUUAGUUAUUUAUUGCAUAGAGAGAAAUAUAUGAAAUGAGAUAUUAAAUGAAUAAGGUCAUUACAGUAAAACUAUAGCUUAUUGCAUCAAAAGUAGUAUCAUCUAACAUGCAAGAAGCUGCUCCUGCAUAUGAGAUAAAGGGAAGAACCAUGUCCUUGGAGAAUGAGAAUUAAAGAUUCAAGCUGAAAGCCCAGUGGAUUUCACCUCUCUAGCAUAUCAUGGAUGCGACAUUGGCAAAUACUAUGAAGCACAAGGGCUUUCAAACUACUUCAACUUUUUGAAUGGACCUACCUAUCAGACGUUGGUACAUCACUUAUGGGUUAGGGCAAGCAUCUACGACAGAGAAGCAUCUAAGCUUGAAGAAGCUGAGAAAGAUCUGUUAAACCUAGAACUUAAAGGGAAAUCAAGAGAAGAAAUGGGUUUGGAACCCUUUGAAAGGACUGAGAUUAGGUCCAGUAUUAUGGGGAUUCAUGUUCACAUAUCAGAAGACAUAAUAGCCUUCGUUCUCAGAAGGCCUGCUGAAGGUACUUACAGGUCUGGGAUCAAGAAAGUAAAGACCGUCCAUGGAAUGAGAUUGUUAAUCAAUCACUCUUUAACAGCAAAGAGAAGGGUGUCUAUGCUUAUAUGACCAUGGAAAAGAAGAUGAUGUUGAAGAUUCAAAAUGACAAUCUGCUACCAAGAGGUGGUGGCAGUGAUCAACCAUCAUUGGAGCACAAGAUUUUUCUCCAUCUUUUUCAUCACUGGUGAACCAGCAAAUGUGCCAAGAUAUAUCUUCAGGCACAUGAUUCAACAGCUAAGAGAGAGCUAGCUGAAGAACAGAUGUUGGGUGCCAUAUGGAAGGCUCAUCUCAGAGAUAUUUCACCAAGGAGGACUCAUAAACCUUCUUUGCAAUGUGGAUUUCUUCACUGAUGAUCAGUUGGGAACUGAGACUGAGAAAAUUAUCAAUGGAGAGACUCUGAAAAACAUGAGGUUAAUCAGCAAGGAAAGCUACAAAAAGCUAAGCACAUAUAUGAAGGAAUCUGAUGCAGUCUCAGCAAUAAUGAAGGACUUCCCUCCAAUCUGCAAACAAGAUCCCCUUGAGGUUCAAAUGCAUUACAUCAAGGAUCAUUUUGCCACAACAGACACCAAAAUCCGUCUGAAGGUACAUAUAAUAUUUUCAACAAAGUUCACAUAUAUGAUCUUAUUUUAUGAUUAAAAGGCUCCAAUUGGUUUUUUUUUUUAGAAAAAGAAGCUUCAAUUAGUUAUUAAGGUAUCGUUUGGCCUGGCUUUUUUUACAGUCUAAAAGCUACUUUAAAACAAAGUUAAAAUAAAGGUAUUUAAGAAAAAGUUAAAACUGUUUGGUUUCUUAAUUUUUUUUUUAGUUUUAAAACUAAUUUUAAGUUAAAAGUUAAAUAUUGUACAAAACCUACUUCUCGACAAUUUAUUUCACAAGCACCUCUCUUAAACUCACGAUGUGAACCUUUUCUUUUAUUUUUUAGUAUUAUAUUUGGGUGCCCACUAAUAUGAACCCUAUUUUUUCAGGUCCAUCGAUGGUCCUCUUCAUGUGACUGUCUAUAGUAGGUGACAUGCGGUCCCUUUCAAAUUUUAAGUUGUGUAAUUUAGUAAAUUAAUUUAUUCAUUGUUUUUCUCAUCCAUUUUUGGAGUUUACCAUUUAAUCGAUGUCUUGUUGGAGAUAUAUCAUACAAUGAAAUAGGCAUCAUAUAUGUCUUCUUAAUUCCAAUCCAGAUCACUAAAACUCCACUUCUAAAUGGGUAUAAUCAAAAUGAAAAGAGAACCUAAUUUCUCAACAAGGAAAAACAAAAGGUGAAAGCUUUCAAUUUUAGACUGAACAUAACUCAAUAAAAAAACAAAACCCAGUUAAAUUGCUAAAAAAAAAUGAAUGACUUUUUUUGCUAACUAGAAAGUGACUGGCUAUACUCAGUCAUGUAAAGAGGAUCAUGAGUGGACCAAAAAAUAUGAGUCCAUAUUAGGGGUUACCUUAUAUUUGAAUAUGUUUUUUUUUCUUCCGUUUUUUUUUUUUGAAGCGGUACAUUUAAUGUCUUUUGAAGGAGGGUCCAGUUAAUUUUAUUAUCUUUUUUUGAAGGAAUUUUUUUAUCUUUUUAUCACUUAUAUAUUUAAUUUCAAUAUCGUUUAAUUAUCACAACCUCACAAAUAUUUUUAUUCACACUGUCAUUGAGUGACACCAAAUAUUUUUAUUCCCUUUCUUCAACCUUGCAAAUAUAUACACACAUUAGCGUUUAGAGUAAUACUUUAUGUUUGUCUGUCUGUUUUGUUACACUAAUGCGUAUAAUUUUUUUUAGUGUUGCAUAAUGCGUAUAAUUAUUUUUAUAAAAUUUUGAUUUUAAUUAAAAAUAUAAGUAUAGAUGCCUAAAAAAAUUAUAUUAUAUAUAUUUUGCACCUUUAUAUUGUAACAAACUAUGCAUAUCUUUUUCUUAUUAAAAAAAAACUAAACAUAUCUUUUUCAAUGACACUAACAAUGUAACAAAUAUAAUAUUAUAUAAUAUAAAUUCUUAUCUUUUUGAAUGACACCAAAAAUAUGGUAUUCUUAUAACAAAAUUUGUUAUAGAGUAUAAUUUGUUGGAACAAAAUGUGUUUAGCAAUAACACUUAAGAGUUUUGAUGAUAACAAAGUAUUAAAAAUUGUCAAUUGGAUAUGCUAAAAUUUGUUCAAGUGUACAGGACUAUAGACAAAAAUUUGACAUCUUAAAAAGGUCUUGGAAGAACAAAUAAAGAGCAAAUACAUCAACAAAAAGGGAAGCUUAAAGCGUCUGAAGAAAACUGCUCCUGAAGAUAAAGCGCUCCUGAACACAAAGUGCUCCUGAAGUGAUGACGUCAUCAGAAGCAAGUUUAUCAGAAGCUGAGAAUCACCAUAAGCUGUAGUUCAUCAGGAGAUGCAACUUAAAGCUUCAAAAGUUGUUUAAAGGAUUCAAACUCGUCUAAGGUUUGUAGAAGACUGAAAAAGUAUAGCAACGACUAUUUUGGAAGGAUUUGAAGGCUUUGUAUGCUUAUUCUUCAAAGAGUGUUGACAUAGUACGUUUGUACGAAGUGUACAACUACUAUCUCCACUACUCUGUUUUUGUCUCUGCUACAAGACAAGAAAAAUAACUCUGCAUGCAAUGAUGUUCCUUCUCAAUGGGAAUGUGUAACACCCUAUUUAAUUAUUUGAUUAUUUUAUUGAGUUUAGAGUCCAUUUUUAUGACUUAUGUGAUUUAUAUGAUUUUUGUGUGUUGUUGUUGUUUUAUUAAAGUGGCUUAUUUUAAUAUUUAAUAGAAUAAGAUUUGAAAAUAAAAUAAGAUUAAGUUGUGGGAGCUGUUUUGGAAUUUAGAAGAGUUUAGUUGAAUAAGUGGAAAUAAGAUAAAGAGGGUUGAGGAAAUAGGUCAGAAAAACAUUUCACGUGAAAACAAGCCUUUGGGGGAGAAAAAGGGAGAAGAGCCAAGUGAAGAACCGGAGAGAUCGUAGAGCUUCGUUCGUCAUAAUUAAGGUAAGAGUGGGACUAACCUUCAAUAAUUCUGAUUAUAUGAUUAUGAAAAUUGGAUUUAACAGGUGGUAGGUUGUAGUUCUGGAAAUUUGGGAAUUAGGUUUAGAAGUUGUAAUUGGUUGUUUUAAUUGUAGAAUUGAUUGUUGGAAUUAAGAUGUUAAUGAAGUUAGGGUUGUGAAAAGAAGUUAGAGUUUUGAAAAGAAGUUAGGGUUUUGAAUUGCAAUUUGAUUGUUGAAAGUGUAGGUAAUCCAAUGAAUUAACAUAUGAAUUGAUGUUCAGGUUGUAGAAUAACAAUAGGUGAUAUUUCUUAUCAAAUUUGGGAGUUUGUGUUUGAGUCCAGUGAAUUAAGAGUGAUUCUUAAGUGAAAAACGCAUUGUUAAACUGAUUUUUGAACUGCUGUGAAGCUCAAAAUCGGCCAUCGAUUUUCUGUCAGGCAAAUCCGGAAAAUAUUCGUAAUUUUCACCCUUCUCUGUUUUGAAUUUGCUUUCGGUGUAAACAUGAAAGUUUUAGAUAAUUUUGUUAGCUUUCCAAUGGCUUUGGUUUGACUUGAAAAUGAUUUUUAGUUUUUGAGAUAUGAUGAAAAUACUCCAAGGAGGUCUUAGUGAAAUCUUAUGAAAAUUCAGCAUAACCGUUUCCAAGUUAAUCCAAAACUUACGGGAUAAUUCCAAACCUCAAAACUAGAAGUAAUAUGAGUUCAAUUAAGGGGUUUAAGAGUAUUUAACCUAUGUUGUGAGUUGAUCUUGGGAUAGAAUGGAAGUUGUUAUUAGGUUAUAGACUUACAGAGAGCCUGAAUCAAAUGAUUAAUGAUUGUUAGUUAGUUUAAGAUAUUUAUAUUAUGAGGAAAAUGUAUGAUAUAGAAAAUAUCGUUGUUUAUAUCAUUCAAGUUGUUAUUAUUAAUAUCACUAUGUUGCAAGUUGCCUAUGUUGCUAUCUCUGCUGUUGUUGAUUAUUAAUAUCAUUAAGUUGACCAAGUUGUGGAGUAAGUCAUAGUUAUUUAUGCACAAUUGUUGUUGUCGUUGUCGUUGAUGUUGCUGAGUUGUAUGUUGAUAUACACAAAUUUUGAGUCCAUUGCAUGCUCAUAAAUUGUUGAGGGCUCAUGCCCUGUGAAUGCUUAAUCAUUCAAACUGUUGAGGGCUCAUGCCCUGUGAAUGCUAGUUCAUUCAAAUUGUUGAGGGCUUAUGCUCUGUGAAUGCUCGUUCAUUCAAACGCGUUAAAAUGGUACCACAUGCAUGUGCAUUGUCGCAUUUGUCGUUGUGUCGUUGCAUAGUCGUUGUUGUUGGUUGAGUUACUGUCGUCGUUGUUGGUUGAGUUGUUUUCGUUGUUGUUGGUUGAGUUUGUAGGUAUUGUUAAUGUUGAUGAAGUAUGAAACAAGACUGUUGAAUUAUCCGUUGUUAAUUAGGUUGUUAAAUACAGUUGAUGAUUUAUAUACCUAUUAUUAUUGAUUGUGAAUCUCACCCCUUCUGCUUGGAAAUGUUACCCUUCGUAUGGGUAACUUGCAGGUGAUCGAGAAUAGUUGCUCUCGUGAGUGGACCUUCUCUCACGUGUGUCUUAGGUGCUCUGAUACGUAACGGGAUGAGAAUUUGUUAUUGCUUUCUGUUCCUUACGUAAUGUUUUAUGAAGUUUUAAGGACAUGUUGUUUGUUGGAAUAAUUUUAUGAGAUUUAUGUUGAGGCCUUGGUGCCAAAGAUGUUUAAAUAUUGAAAUAAUUUCUGCUGCAAAGUAAUAAUUGAUAUGUUGUUGAAUUUGAAGGAUAAAUAGUUAUUUAUUCAGUUUAUGAUUUUAUGAAAAGUAAUGUGACAUUCCGUUUACGUUGAAAAUACUCUGAUUUAUAUGUGAUUAUAUGUAAAAAAUUUAAGUUGGGAAAACGGGGUGUUACAUAAUGCAUCUGAAAUUGAUCAUUCUUAGGACAAUAACCAUAUCAGGCAAAUGAUCAUUGGUGAUUGAUCAAAAGCUUCAAACGACUCUAUUUUGAAUAUGCUGGAAAUUCAACGUCUCUUUCAAACUUCUAUAUAAAGGAGUGAAGACUCAGAGUUUUAAUAGAACAAUACCAAGAAUUAACUGAGCCAAAACUCUGCUGAAAUUGUUCUGCAUUCAAAGUUCACUUAGAAUUUCUUAUCAAAGCUUAUAUCUUAGAAAUUCUAGAGUCUUUAGAGUCUGUAUCUGAUUUGUAUUGUGAACACCACUGAUUGUAUAUCAAGUGUUCAACCUCAAACAUUUUUCUUGUAAUUCUGUUUGAAUUAAGAAGUCUCUUGCAGUUGUGCUUGAGCAAUAGAAGUCUCUUGAUUGUGUUCAGGAGCAUAGGAAGUCUCUUGCAGUUGUGCUUGAGCAUUUGAAGUUUCUUACUAAGUUUAGUAGUGAGCAAUUGUAAUCAGAUAUUACAUAGUGAACUCUCCUUGGAAGUGCAAGGGGGACAGGACUGACUUCCGGUUUGUGGAAGGAACCUGUAUAAAUUGUUUGUGUCUUUCUUCUCUCUCUCUGUUUUAUCCGCUGCAAUUAGUUCUGAACAUCUCUUCAGAAGUAGAACUACAUCUGCUUCUGAUCUGUGUUUUCAGUUAGGAGAAAAAGAAGAAAAGGCCAACACAAUUCAACCCCCCUUCUUGUGUUUUGUUCUCACCUUCAUAAUUGGAAUAGAAAAAACCAACUAUUCUCCCUAAAAGAAACCAACUAUUCUCUAUAUACACACACACACAAAAUAAAUUAUACACAUUAUGCAACACUAAAAAAAAUUAUACGCAAUAGCGUAACAAAAGAACAGACAGACGAACAUAAAGUAUUACUGUAAACGCUAAUGUGUGUGUGUAUAUUUGCGAGGUUGAAGAAAGGGAAUAAAAAUAUUUGGUGUCAUUCAAUGACAGCGUGAUUAAAAAUAUUUGCGAGGUUAUGAUAAUUAAAUGAUAUUGAAAUUAAAUAUAUAAGUGGUAAAAAGAUAAUAAAAUUCCUUAAAAAAAUAAUAAAAUUAAAUGGACCCUCCUUCAAAAAAUAAAUUAAAUGGACUUGUUCAAAAAAAAUGGAAGGAAAAAACAUAUUGAAAUAUAAUAUUAAAAAAUAAAAUAAAAAGGUUCCCAACAUGACUUGAAGAGAGGUGCUUGUGAAAUAAAUUAUCGAGAAGUAGUUUUUUGAAGUAGCAUUCAACAACUUUUGAUAAAAGCUCAUUCCAUUCAAUUUUAUGCAUUCUAAAAAAGUACUUCUUUUAGAAGGUAUUUUAUUGAUAUUGUGUUUGACCUAACUUCUCCUUAAAAAUGUAGAGAAGCUGAAAAAAUGUCGGGUCAAACGGUACCUAAGUAAUCUUUUAGCACCGUAUCAUUCAAUUAGUUUUUUCUAUAAUUUUUUUCCAUAAACUAUUGACUUUUUUUUUGCAGAGCACACUCUAAAUAUAAAAUAUGGAACUCAAGAUUAAGAUCAUUAGAAUGUGAAGAAUGCCGAAUUUAAAGAAAUCGCAUAUAUUUAAUGAUGUGAUUUUUAUGGAUGAUAUAGUAUGCAUCAAAUAUUUUUCUUUGUGAACUUUUACUAACAUGAUUUCACAUUAACUUAAUUAUUUUUCUAUGCUAAUGUUUAUUUAAUUUUGUUGUUGAUGAUAUUCUAGCGGAUGAAAAAUCAAUGAACUGUGUGAAGCGGCAAUGUUACAAAUAUCAAUCUAUGUUAUUAUAAAAGAAAAAAAAUAUCAAUCUACGUUGAUUGAUGUAAUAUGUUAUGAGAUAAGAAAUAUCUUAAUUUCUAAUAACAACCAUAAAUUUAAACCAACUUCCUCUGAAUAUAGAAUAUUUUAUAAAAUUAUAAACAUCGAGAAGUCGUAUAAAAUUUUUUAAGGAGUUAAAUUAUAUGUAUUUUGUCUAUUUAUUCGUUAUACUUUUUUUUGGGUAACCAUGAUAUAGGUUCACAAAUUCCACCAUCGCUAAAGAUGACUAAUCUCCAUCAGGAAUCGGUAGGACAUAAAUGGUGGGUUCUUUCCAUUCAAUUGAUUUUUUUUUCUCAUACUCUUGAGCCACGAAACAAACUCAUGACCACAUGUUUAAAGAGACUCAUAAACUCUUGCCAUUUGGACUAAUUCAUUAUUGAUUUUUGGGUUAAUAAGUCUUUACCCCCUGUAAUAGAGGUCAUUUUCGGUUUUCUCCCCUGUAACUUUUUUUUUUUAUUUACCCCCAUGUGAAAUUUUUUGUUUUGAUUUACCCUCCUAAUAGGCCAAACAAAAACGAAAAAGUUCUUCAAAAAAAAAAUUAAAAUUGGUUUUUGUUUGGCCUAUUAGGGGGUAAAUCAAAACAAAAACAUUUUACAGGGGGUAAAUAAAAAAAAAUUACAGGGGGGAAAACCAUAAAUGACAUGUAUUACAGGGGGUAAAGACCUAUUAACCCUUGAUUUUUUUACACUUUUUAUUCUUGGAUAUGACAUUCAUGCCACCAUUUAUAUUUAUUUUUAAGAUAUAAUUGUUAAUUUAGAUUAAUUCAAUUAAAUAUACUUACAUAAUCUAUGAUAUUAUCAUCAUUUGUGCCCACAAACUUAUUUAAUAUCUAAUCCGGGCAACACCGAGCUCUAAACUAGUCACAUAUUACAAAUGUGUUAUAUGUCGAGUCUAGUUCCCUUUUUAAUAGGAAACGUGACUAUAAGUAGGGGUGUGCAAAGUUAUUGGUUAACUGAAACCAAAUCACCACCCAACCCAUAUUCAUAUUUCAAAAGUCCAAUCUAAUUAGUUAAAGACUAUUACUUUUUCCAUCCUUUUUCAUUCUCGCGCGUCCUGCACGCUUAAUCAAAAUACCAUCUAUCCGGAUUUACACAAUCCGAACACAUUUUAGAUUGUGAAAUCUGAAACUAAUCAAAACAUGUGCUGGGCUAUGUCUCCAUUGGAUCAUGACCAAUGGAAGAGUGUAAGAACUCCUGAAGUAUAUAAUCCAUACAAAAUAUACAUGUCCAGAUUAUACAAUCCAAAAGCCCUACUUUUUUUAUAAAAAAAAAAAAAAGCGGAAAAAGUAACGGGAUAUUCAUAUAAGGUUCACCCAGCACCUAGCUGCAGUUCACCACCUUUCUCUCCAAACACUCUAUAUACCUCUAGAAACACGCCAUUUUGGGCAAAAAUGUGAUUUAAAGCAGCAAUCUGGUCAUCAAGAUGCGUUAACAUCAUAAUUUCUAGGCGCUUUCCUUUUGAUCACGUCAACAAAUAUGUACUGGAGCUAUUCGGAUUGUGUAGUAUGAACAACACCAGUACAAAAAAUUUGUGCAUCUUAUGACCCUGCUAUGUCACUGUUUCAGUAAUGGAUGUUCAUGUUGAUGCCUCCAUUGACAAACCACCUGAUAUUGAACCUCAUACUGUGUUGCCGGUUGUUCCACUUUAAGUUCUAGAUGAUCCCAAAAAUGCCAAAGCCAAGGAUCCUCCCACCACCGCCACCACCACCAACAUGGAAACUUGAUAUUUCCUUAAGUGAUGCAAAAGUAGAUGAUACUCCUCCUCCUAUUGUUUGAAUUGAUCAUGGAGAAGAUUUUACCACCAAGCAAAAGUUUGUUACGCGGAAUGAUUUAUUGGAGUGGGUUCGAGAGAAAACAAGGAAGCUUGGAUUUACAACCGUCAUUGGUAAAUCCGAUAAAGGUGACAAUGGAAGAAGUGUUUUUGUUACCGUGAUAUGUGAAAGAGGAGUAUUGUUUAUUUUGAAAAGUACUACAAUACCCCUACAUCAUAUAACAUUUCCAACCAAAUUAAUUUAAUUCUUUUAUUUAAAUUCAUUUAAUUAAUUAACUAAUUAUUUCAAUUACUUAUUUUAAUUCAACAUAAUUGAUAAAAAAAAUUAAAAAUCAGCAGGAACAUACAUUUGGCACAUCGCAAAAUACCGUAUUAUAAAAAGUACAACAACAAAAAAAUUAUAGAUACCAAAAAUAUAGCUUACCCUUGAUGCAAAAAAAAUAAUAGCUUCUCCUAAAUUCACUUUCAAAUUAUAUAAAGUUGACGGUGGGAAAAAAAAAAUAAAAAUAACUAACAUCAUAAAAGACACAAAAUUAACUAAAUUGGACUAGGGGCAUAAAAAGAAUACACAAAAAUAUCACUAAUCUCCUUCACUUUCUUCUCGACUUUGGAGAGAAAGGAUUUUGUGGGGUCCACAUAUUUUUAGUCUCUCUUUUCUAUUUCUCUUUACUUCCAAACAGGAGAACUUCAAUUUCUCUCUUCCUUAACUCUCUCUUCUCUAUUUCUACUCUACCAAACACAGUGUAAAAGUUCAAAUAGUUAAAUACAUUUUUUGAAAUUAAAAAAAAAAAACAGAAAAACUUAACAAGCGAAAAAAAAUGUUAUUUUAUAAAAGUUUUUCAUUUAAUUUUUAUGAGUAUCAGUCUAUGUGACAUAGAUAUAAUUAGUGUUUUUUCUAUGAUGCGGUUUGGUUUGAUUUGAUUGGUAAAAUAAAAACUACAAACCAAACCAUGCGAUUGAAUAAAAAAAAAAAGAUCUGAAUACAUCAAAAUCAAAUGCAAUUUCGGUUUGGAUUGUUUUGGUUUGCAAUUUUUCUAUUGGGUUUAUUCGGUUUUGAACACCCCUAAUUAUACUAAAUAAGAGAUCCUAAACGCCUCUUUAACAUACAUGGUAUUUUUUUUGUUUGCAAAACGGGCAUCCUUCAUGCACAAUUGUAGAAAUUAAUGUCUCGAGUCUUGUAAGACUCAAACAUAUGACAAUUUUACCUAAAUUUUUUAACGUUGUUGCAUGUUUAAUGCUAAAUUCAAACUCAAUACAUUGGAUAAGAUAAAAUUGAACCGUAUCAUCUUAUAUAACGAUCUUAAAAAUACUCUAUAUUUAGUUAUGGGUAUUCAAAUGAAUUUCAUCGUAGUAUUGUUUUCUAUAAAUUUGCCUAUUUUUAACAAACACGCAUCAAAUGGCAUUUCAUUUGCAGUUAUUUCAGCAUUGAUAAACUUUUGCUAAUUUCUUUAGUACUGUAUAACAACUCAAAUCAAAUACACAUAUAUUAAAAUCUCAAAUUUUCCAAGAGUAAGACUUAAAUAACGACUAAACAUAUCAUUUUUGUUUUCUAGUACUAUGAUUUAGAAUAAGAUUGAGAUUUUAGAGUGAGAAUAUAUCGUAUAGCGUAUUAGUCCUGUCUUAGGAUAAAAAAAGGGAUCGACAAUUUUUUUUAUUCAAACCUUGACAAAAAAAAAUUAUUUAAACUUAAGAGCCCAACAAUUUGUUAACUUGGAAUAUGAGUCUUAAAAAACAAAAUUGUUUUGACUAAUAAAUAAAUUCUUUAAUUGUAUACGUUGUUCCACCGUAUUUAUUUUAAGGUCUUCUUUUAAGCAUCCCAAAUUUAGUAAUUAUUCUUUAAAAAGGUCAACUAUUACAAUUUUUAAUACAUUCAAUACACAACUUUUUAUUAAAACUUACCGAUUAAAGUACUUAAAGAGUGUCCCGGAAACACUCGUUAAUAUUUCCCUUUAUUUUAUUUAUCUGUCCCUUUAAUUAUGGUCUAUUUAUGAAAGAACUAGACACAAUUGAAACAUAAGUGAAACUUAUUAAUAAGACACACUUUAUUUUUUGAUGAAGUCAAACUACCCAUCAAAAUUAAUAUCGGAAAUAAUUAAACCUAAAAAUUUAAGAGAAAUUUUAAGAUUAUAAAGCACAUCAAUUAGAUCAAUAAGAUUCGGUGAUGUUUGGGGUUCAAACCUCAAACCUAACAUAUAUAAUAUGUAUUAUCCUUAUCAACUGAGUCAACCACUAAAAUGAAUCAUAAGUUUAUAUGUGUAAAUAGAUAAAUGAGAUAGAUGAAACAAAUUCAUCCCGGAUGACACGCUAAACAUGGUUGGGAGCUUCUCGAAUCGAUAUAGAUAGGAUAUAUCAUGUGUCGUCGAUCCUGAAGGAAUUUAAAAGACCAAUUCAAUUAAUAUAAUAAAUAGAAAGACCAAUUCAAUACAAAUGGUCAAUGGCGUCCAAGAGUUUUUGUAUUAAUUUGAAACUAUACAAAGUUCGUGUUAUAUAUGGCAGAUGAUUAAUUGGACAAUUAACUAACUCAAUCUUGUUCUCCGCACAUUACGCCUCAAUUUAACAACGUAUCUUUCAACCUUGGUGGCUAUCACCUAUAUACGUUUCACUACAUCAAUUCAGAAGAGGUGUGAACUUCAAAGGCAGCAUCAAUAAAAAGUGUGAGAUGUUUACACAUUUAAAUCAAAGUCGUAAAUCGAUACAAAAAAAAAAAAAACUAUAUAAAUCAAAUUUAUUGAAUAUGUUUAGAAGUUUUUUGUGAAAACCAUGUAACAUUAUAUCAAGUUCCCGCGAGUAUAUAUGAAAAAUGUAUUAUGAUAUGCGUUCGAACCCUAAAAAAAAAAAUAGUUCCCGCGAGUAUAUGUAGGGAUAAUGUAUUAUGAUAUGCGAUCAAACCCUAAAUACUCUAUUUAUUCAUCUUAAAAAGUGAAUUCAACCUACUAAACAAGUUGACAAAAAAAAAAGAUCAGAUAUAUAGGUAUUAAAUCGAAUUGAAUCAAACGGCUGAGUAAAAAAAAUUAAAAUAAAACUCAUGACAUAUAUAUUAAUGUAAAAAAGAUCAUGUUAUGAUAUCAUGUUUUUUAAGGAUAUUUUAACAUUUAUGUUAUAUGUUAAGCGUUGUAAAAGAUAGUUGAAGUCCUUUUUUAUAUAAAAAAUAUGUUAUGUGUUUUAAAAGAGAAUUUUUUUGACAAAAAAAAGAGCUGAAGUCUCCGUUUUAUAAAUGAGUUAUGUUUUAUAAAAGAAAGAAAGGAUUAAGUAACAAAAAAAAAAUGAUUAUUUUAAUAAUUAUGAAUUAUGCUUUUUUUUUUAUGCAAAAGAAAAUAAAAGAAUAAAUGAAAAUGGUUUUGGCAGGAGUUGAAUCUAGCACAUAAGACUUGGCAAAAAGGCUCUUGACCACUAGAGCAUGUUACACAAUCAUUAAAAUGUUACAAAACAUAAUAUAUAUAUAUAUAUAUAUAUAUAUAUAUAUGAAACAAAAUUGGGGGUGUGCCAUGGCCCAUCUUGGCCCAUGAGGGGCUCCACCUCUGCGACAAACACACCUAAAUAAAAGUACUAAUUAAAAUAUACUUGUCGCGUCAUUUUUUGGAGGUCAAGACUAUUUGAUUAGCUUUUGACUCACUAAUUUAUUUCACGACUGAACAUUUAAUUUUUUAAGAAAAAGGGGAAAAAGUUCAAAACACCUCAUAUUGAGAGAUUUAGGGUUCGGGGGUUGGUUAUAUUUAGGGAAGGUAUUAGCACCCUAAAUAUUCGUAGUACUCUACGAGAACCUCUUGAUUUUAUUUAAUUAAUGUGCUAUAAACUUGCUUGCUUUUCAAAAAAGAAGUUAAUGUGAUGAUUAAAAGAAGAAAGAAAGUGAGACCUAAUUUAUCUACAUUUUUUAUGAUUUGGAAGGACAUUGUCCUCUGCCUACGUACCCGUGAGGGAUCAAAACCUCAUAGUUCGGGGUAGAAAUUGACGUUUGAUUUGUUGAGUGUUUUUUAUUAGUUUUGAAAAAGGUUUUAAAAUGAAAAGCCAAGUGGCAAAUGAGUAUUUGUUUGUGUUUUUUAAUAUUGAAAAAAGAGACUUAAAGUAAAGUUAAAUUGAUUAAAGUUUGAUUAAGAAAAGAAAAUAAAAAUGCGGUCACUUGAUUUGGAUCAAGGUUUAUUAUGAAAAUAUUUUUGUGAUUUUGAUUAUUUGCAUGUUUUUUGUUGUUUUUUUGGAAUAUUAAAUAAAAAUUAAACUAACGGAGAAAUAAAAAUAAAAGCGCGUGGAUUUUUGUAGUGACGUUGGAUCACCACAAAAUCCCUAAUCUAAUUUUUUUGCAUUUUUGGAUAUAUAUAUAUAAGGCGGUAAAGAAAUAAAAGGACACACACACUUUUCUCAUUUAUAUUUACAUUGGACCUAAAUACAUUCUAAUUGCUGAAAAAUAAAUAACAAUAAUUAAAAUGCUAAAUAAAAUAAAAUGCAAAAAUGCUAAAAAGAAAUAAAAUGCAAGAAAAUAAAAGAAAUGGACAAUCGAAUGGACAAAAAUUACCGAAGGGACUUUUCCGAAGGGACAGAAAAAAAGAGGGAGAAGAAAAGAAUAGCUCGUUAACACAAGCUAAAGAGGGAGAAGAGAGAAAAGUUCUUUGACAACUCAAGAGAACUUUUGGUGUCUGAAAUUGUGUGGAAUGAGGGCUCUAUUUAUAGGUGAGGAGGUUGAUGAAAAAUGGAAAAUUGGUUUAAUGGAAAUAAUGGACAAUUAUGGUGAAUUUUGAAAAAAGAAUGUUAAAGUUGACACUUGACUUGAAAUUUUUUUUAGACCUUGUACAUUUUAUUUUGGACCUAUUGACACUUUGUUUUUUUUUUUGGACACUAAUUAAUUAAAAAGAAAUAAAAUAAAAAUAAAAUAACUAAUAAGAAAUAAAAUAAAAAACAAAUUAAACUAAAUUAUGUAAAGAAAAAUAAAAUUAAAAGAUGGAAAAUAAAAAUUAUUAAAUAUAAAAAAAAGUAACUAAUCUUAAAAUUAAAAUUAAUAAAAGAUGGAAAGAAAAUAAAAAGAGAAAAGAGGGUCCGACUCGGAAUAAAAAAUGAGGUAUUUUAAAAUACCUCCUUGCCGAAUUUUUUCACUGAAAAAUCAGAGAUCGAUCAGAGUCAAGUGACAUGUGUCAGUGAAGCCUUAGGUUAAAAAUUGGGAUAUGACAAUACUCAUAUUUCAAUUUUAACAGGAUCCUCUCAAAUAGACGGUGAGAUUGGACUCCUAAUUUAAUUUUUUUCAUCAUUUACUUAAAAUUAAGUUGUGUUUAAAUUUAUUUUGGUCUUUUAUUCUUGUAAUGUUAUACAAAUUUAUUUAUUUAUGUUUUCUAAUGUUAUACAAAUUUAUUUAUUAUUUUUUUAAAUGAGAGUUGAGGUGACCGUUAACAAUAUUAUGUGGUUUUGUCAUGUCAAAACAAUGCCAUUUUAUUCUAAAAUUAAUAAUUUGAGUUUUUUUUAAAGAAUAAUCUGAGUUGAUGGUUUAUCUUCUUUCUCAUAACAUCUUAAUGUAAACGAAAAACUUAGUUUUUAAUAAGAUGAGCUUUUAAAAUUCACAUGUCAUAAUUCAACCAGUAAAAUCGUCAAAAUUGAUAAAUAGACGUCGUGAUUGAGGUUCAAAUAUUAAACUCUUCAUUUAUAUAUAUAAAAUUCAAUGGUUAUUUAACAUUUUACCUAUCUUAAAAAACCAGUCUUUUGUAGGCCUAUGGGCAAUAAAUUAUACACGUUUCAUCCCUAGUUAAGACGAAUUCAAGCCAGCUCAUCAUCAACCCACAAGGCAGGGUUCAUAUGAACUUCAAAAAUCAAAAGUAUAGUUGACUGAUGGUGAGAAUUAAAUUGUCAGCUCUAUAUAAACAAAAUAAUAAUAAUUAAACUGUUAGCAAGGUUCAUGCCUUAAGAGUUUGAUCAUCAAUAUUUAUUUUAUUGAUUAAAGGAGAAAAUUCUCAAUACGUUUUUUUAUAUAAAAAAAUACUUUAUACUUGAAACAUAGCGUAUUAGAUAUUCAUAUUCUAGAAGGAAAACACUAUUUACAGCGUAAAGUUGUCUCACGAUAACACCACGAUCUGCACUGUAUUCAAGCCUAAUUCACGCACUCAUGUAUUUUGCCAACCACUCAUGCAUUGUGCCAAAACGCAGAUCUUAGGUGCUAGUGCUUUCGUGGGUUAUUCGUGAUUUGGCCUCACUACUAGAAUAGUGUUAAUUAUCUAUAAAUAAUAUAUGUGAUUAUUCGAGACUGAGAGAAUAUUAUCAAAAAUUUAAAAGUAGUUAUGAUUUAAGGUAAACUAUUUUAAUGAUUGAACGAUCUAUAAUGAUUCACGAUGUAAUUUUUUUUUUACAAUGAUAUUACAUAUGAAUUAAAUCCUAUUAUAAAACCGUCCCAUGAAUAUAUUCACAAACUUCAUAUAAUUUAGCCAAAUCUAACCUUUAAAAAUAAAAAAUCUAUCCUCUUUGAUGAAUAAAAAACCAAUCAAUUACCAUUGAUAUCUUAAGGGAUUCAUUAAUUAGACCCUUACACGCUUAGCCAAAUUUAAUUUGAUACUUCUAAGACUAAAGAGAUUGAAUGUUGAAAUUUCAUACUUCUUAUUACUUUUCUUCCCUACGAGUGAAUGCAAACAAUUUAAUCACCAACGUACAUAACACGGUUCUCAUAGUUUCCUUACCCAACUUUGUAUUUACAUACCCUCCAACACCUAUAUAAUGCUAUGAACCCAUCAACAUUUUCAACACAACCAAACCAACAACCUUAAAAAAACAAUCAAACAUGGCAUCCUUCAAACAAGUUUCAAUCCUGUUAUUCCCUCUUUUCCUCAUUUCCCUAUUCAAAUCCUCUCAUGCUGCAGGAAUUGCUGUCUAUUGGGGUCAAAACGGCAACGAAGGUUCCUUAGCAGAUGCUUGCAACACAAACAACUACCAAUUUGUAAACAUAGCUUUUCUAUCCACUUUUGGCAAUGGCCAAACUCCAACUCUAAACCUUGCUGGCCAUUGUGAUCCAGCCUCAAACGGUUGCACAAAGUUUAGUAGUGAAAUUCAAACUUGUCAAAGCAAAGGCAUCAAAGUGUUGCUAUCUCUCGGAGGUGGUGCCGGAAGCUACUCUCUUUCCUCAGCUGAUGAUGCCACGCAGGUUGCAAAUUACCUAUGGAACAAUUUCUUGGGUGGCACGUCAUCUUCAAGACCUUUAGGUGAUGCUGUUUUGGAUGGAAUUGAUUUUGAUAUUGAAGCUGGUGGUGAACACUAUGAUGACCUUGCAAGAGCACUUAAUGGUUUUAGCUCACAAAGGAGAGUUUACUUGUCUGCAGCACCUCAAUGUCCUUUCCCUGAUGCUCAUUUGGAUUCGGCUAUUAAUACCGGUUUAUUUGAUUAUGUGUGGGUUCAGUUUUAUAAUAAUCCUCAGUGCCAAUACUCAAGUGGAAACACUAACAAUCUUGUUAAUGCUUGGAAUCAAUGGACUUCAAGUCAAGCUAAACAAGUGUUUUUAGGUGUACCUGCUAAUGAUGCUGCUGCUCCAAGUGGUGGUUUUAUUCCUUCUGAUGUUUUGAUUUCUCAAGUUCUUCCUGCUAUUAAGGGUUCUGCUAAAUAUGGUGGUGUUAUGAUUUGGGAUAGAUUCAAUGAUGGACAAAGUGGAUACAGUAAUGCUAUUAAGGGCAGUGUUUAAUUAUUAACUAGUUUAUUAGUCUAUGUAUUUGGAAUAAGUAGCAUGUUCAUGGUAGGUUUUGUUCCUACACAUUAAUAAGUGCUAUGUGAUCACUUGGUUAUAAAU